rnacentral:lncRNA from 1 species
GCACUGGUCUGAAAGACGAAGAGCUGGACACCCACAGCAAGUUCUUCAAGGCCCACGUGAUUGACAAGCCCCGCCCAUAUUACCGUCACGACACGAGCCACAUCCCCGAUCACUGGUUUGACGCCGUUCAGGUGUGGGAGGUCAAAGCGGCCGACCUGUCCAUCUCGCCGACCCAUCGCGCAGCCAUCGGCAUUGUUGAUCCUGAGAAGGGCAUCUCCCUGCGAUUUCCUCGCUUCCUGCGGGUCCGAGACGACAAGAAAGCGGAAGAAGCUACCAACAGUUCACAGGUUGCGACUCUCUACAACAACCAAGAUCAGAUCAAGAACCAGAAAGCGACCGGUGUCCUGAAACCAAAGGCCAGUGAAGACUUUUAUUAGGCAGAAAAAAAAGUACAACACAAAAACAAAAUAGAACAGUUCUUCAAAUGACUGUGAAUUUGUGCAAGUCUUAAAAUUGCAGCGCUGUGUUCAGUGAAAUACUAGGCAGAUCAGAUUGGUCUAAAGACCUUUUGGCCGGUUGAACGAAAACAUGUGCAGUGCUUUUGGAAAUAAAAUAGAGGCUUUUGUUCUUCAAUGACGUCGUAUCAUUGUAAAUACUGUAAGCCCAGAACUGUAUGCUCAGCACUUCUCUGAUUGCGUAUGAGAAAAAUAAUUUCAAGCUUAUUCGGGUGGACUCCUGCGUAUUAGUACAGAUGUCUGACCACUCAACCAUCAAACUUGCCUUCGUCAGUUAUUAGAUUAAAAAUGAUACAUCGUUGGGUACCAUGUCAGUUGAAGGAGUACUACAACAUUAAAGCUGCGUUCUCCAUGCUAUUUUUGAGAUUCAUCCUGAAAAGAUAGAUUCCUUUUCUAAAUUGCUAUUUUUCUAGCAAUACAAAAGUUAAUCAAUUUUAAAUGAGACAUCUACGGAAAAGAAGCGUCCCAUGUUAAGUUAUUGAAUUAUAACUUUACAAUUUUGAAUUACUGGCUGCCAGACAAUAAUUGCAUUCGCGUGGGGCAGGCUGGUUCCCACCACACAACCAGUAUCGAUAAUGUACAGGCCGGGCGCCAGCCUGCUCCCAAAGUGGAUCUGUUUGCACUCAAAACAAAACAACAUUUUUUAGAGGGUUGCAGACGACCAAUUAAGGAAAGAGGGAAAUUUUUGGUUGAAAUAAAAAAUACGUUGAUUUUGAGCACAGGGAACGGAACUUUUGAAAAACAAAUGGACAAGUAAAAAAUAUUCCAUUUGAAGUCAACGGUUAUAUUGACAAUGUUGAUAAUAGAUGUUUUUAAACUGAAGUAAAGCCAUAUUCAGAUAUUUCUCCCAUUAGAUUGGGUAAUGAAUGAAUUUAUUCAGAUGAAGGUUAUAUUAUGCACUCGAAUUCUAAAUUCUUCUCAGCCAGUUAAUAUUUGGCUAAGUAAAACUGUUGGGUGUUAAUUCCAGAUGCAUAGAUUUUUUUUAUUGAUACAAAAAUCUUAACAUAACCCUAAGAUAAUUUCGGCUUAUCAGCUCACACUGAAACUUUAGGGCCCAUUGCAAUUCAUAUCCAGUACAAGUUCCAGACAAGUUGCGGGUAGAAUCAUUCACUGUAUGGAAGAAGCUCAGCAUUUGUCCCAGACAUGUUCCACGGAAAGUUUCAUUAGCAACUGCUUGACUCCUAAAUACUGACAACUCCAUUGUGGGAAGAUUGCUGGGAAGUUGUUCAGAAUCCUGCAACUUAUACCCGAUACAACGUCCGGAACUUGUCCAGAACUCGUCCGGAUAUAAAUUGAGACUGGCCCUUAACCGAAUGUCGAUGUUGUUGGGUUUUUGUGAGUUCAAGCAACAUGCAUUUUGAUAUUUUAUAGUUUUUGUAAAUAAGUAGAUUUAUUAAAAGAAUUAUCCAACCAGUCCAUUCGAUGGUGAAUUUACAAAGCACUCAGCCCGAGUAAAGAUUAUAAAGACUCGAUGAUAAUUUGCCUUUUAAAAACUAUAAUGGACUGUUGGUUAAAAAUGAAAUCAAAUAAUAAAAGAUUGAUAGUUGCUGAAAAGGUUUUUAACCAAAAAUUGUAAAUUUUAAGGAUUCAUUGAAGGAAUUUUGUGUUUCAAAUGUGAAAGACGGACACUCA